AAAAGAGAGUAACUGUGACUUAAAGUAAAAUGACUGGUCAUUCCAGAGUGAGGAGGAAAAGCAAGAAUGGAUAAGAGUGUUGCAGAAAAGGAAUCUUGGCUAUUUACUCUGAAACUUUUGCAAAAAUGCUUCAUAUUCAGGAGAUUCAUGGAAAAGACUCUGAGAACAACUCUGGAAUACAGAUUUCUGAUAACUUGAAGAUCAUGGAACUGAAUGGGAGAAGAGUUUCCAGAACUAAUGGAAAAACUGGGUUCAAGAAAAUGAGAAUAAAAAGCAUAUCUCCUGCCAUUGUCCCAAAUGAUUUCUAGCUCAGACUGCACUGACAAACGUGAAGGAGACUUCCACGGAGGGCAAGGACCAGAAUCUAAAUCACAUCAUUCAAAGAAGCUGCUCUUAUCACAAAACAGGACA